UGGGGAGAAGGGGACAUUUACAUGGAACCGAAUUACGUCACAAAAGGCCACGAAGGACCUGCAAAGGGGUAUAGAUAGCUUUCUUUUGAUCACCAGGAGACGGGAACCUUGAAAGAGUGUGGAGCAGAGGCCUCUGUGCGGGACCUGGAAUGGCAGCAAGAGAAGGAGAGGAGAGCAGUCAGGAGGAUGGAGCAGCAGCAACCCGAAGGAGACAAGGAGGAGGGUGGACGUCCAGGGCAGCGGGAAGGGAGCUGCAUGACGAUCAGCAGCCGUGGCGCAGGCAUAACCACAGCUCGGCUCUCGCAGGUUGAGCACCUGGACAGGCGUGCUCUUGCUUCUGGGGCGGAAUGUGCAGAUGCUGACGGUGCUCCGUGCUGUCACCUUGGCGCCACAUCCCAGAGGAGUGAAACAGGCUGGGGUAGAAACCCGCUGGCCUCGAAGGCGGUCUCCAGAGGGCCGGACUGCCCUGGAGAGAAGAGUUCUUCCAGCCAAGUUCCAAUGGGAAAUAUGUGAAAAUGCUGGGAGGCAUAGCUGCUGCGAGAGUCCGAGAAUUUGAAGGUCACUCUUUCUGAUCAACACACAUUAAGUAUCGCCGAGCA
rnacentral:lncRNA from 1 species